AAAUAAUUAAGGAAAGAAUUCAAGGUGGAGGGGAUUGGGCAGACACGGGAAGAAAUCAGUUUGCACUGAGUGUUUGCUCUCAGCAAAGCUUUAUUUCUCGCUCCCCGCCCCCUCUGUGUGGCGCCUCCCUCCUCUGAUUCUCCUUAACUCUUCCUUGCUGUGGCUAUUUCUCUCAGGCUAUUCCCAAAAGUAAGAUCUUCUCCAUCCUGCUCAGCCUUUGGCUCUGGAGAUUCUAGAAACAAGACUGAGACAUGAUGAGGUACUGAGGACCUUCUGUUGAAUCCAUGGCUGAGUGGAGAUUUAAGACAAUCUCUCUCACUUCCAAGCAGAAUACUACCCUAUGCUGCGAAUAAAAGAAGCACUCAUGUGUCUCCGUUCCUGUCUGCUGAUCCUAGGAACUGGUAGACUUCCUUGCCACUUGGAGAUCACAUCAGCAUGCCUGCUACUGGGAAGGUGAUGGUGGAGUGUACAAGGGAGUGGCCUCCUGGAUUACUUGUGUGGGCCUCAGGUGGGGGGAAUGUCUGCAGCCAGCAGACUUCACUGAGUGAAUGCAAAAGGAGGUGAUGCCAAGAUUGAGGGAGAACUCCUGCUAGGACUCUGCCUGUAACACCAGUCGGCAGGCUUCCGUGAGGUCACAAACUGCAGGGGGAGACCCAGCAACAGCAGUGCAUCCAGUCAGAAACAAGCCAGCCACUGGUGGACAGUGAAACCACUAGUGCAGCCGCGUAAGACAGGGAAUUGUGGACAAGUGGCCUGUACAAUAAGAAUGGGUUUGUUGUCACUCACCAUUCAAAGUGAGGGUUUCAUUUGCCUUCGGUGACUAUAUGGUGCCAAUACCAUCACAUUCACUAUAUGAUCUCUAAUUGGCUGGGCUCACACAGCGAAGAAGCCCUUUCCACUAUAAAAAAAUGGUGGCAAAGCUGUAGUCAGCGAGGGAAAUAAUGACUUUAAAACAGGCAAUUAAAAAAGAAGUACAAGUAUGGACAAAGGUUUUGCUCCUUAUGGACCUCUCUCACGCUCCCCAGUUAAAGUUUUAGUAGAACAUCCUAUAUCAGUACCAUAUGUAUGAAUUAACUCCCAGGCAAGUGUAAUGGUUUUUUUGUUGUCUCAAUGAAACACUAAGGCUAGAAUAUUAAAAUAUAAUAAUAUGC